AGGACGAACGCUGGCGGCGUGCUUAACACAUGCAAGUGGAGCGACGAACCAGGGCUUGCCCUGGGGCAGAGCCGCGAACGGGUGAGUAACACGUGGGUAACCUACCCCGAUGAUUGGGACAACCCGAGGAAACUCGGGCUAAUACCAAAUGUGCUCGCAGUCUUUGAGGACUUCGAGUAAAGAUAGCUUCGGCCUUCGCAUCGGGACGGGCCCGCGGCCCAUUAGCUUGUUGGUGGGGUAAAGGCCUACCAAGGCAACGAUGGGUAGCUGGUCUGAGAGGACGAUCAGCCACACUGGGACUGAGACACGGCCCAGACUCCUACGGGAGGCAGCAGUGGGGAAUCUUGCGCAAUGCGCGAAAGCGUGACGCAGCAACGCGCGUGGAGGAAGACGGUCUUCGGAUUGUAAACUCCUUUCAGUUGGACGAAGUCGUUUUCGGUUAAUAGUCCCGUUGAGUGACGUACCUUCAGAAGAACGCCCGGACUAACUACGUGCCAGCAGCCGACGGUAUCGUGA
rnacentral:rRNA from 1 species